CCACCCUGGAACAGUGACUUUCCCCUCCCAGUAACCAGACAACACAUAGUUCUGGGAGUACAAGCUGGAAUACGUUAAUGGCAGCCACAACUGGCCUUAAAUGCAUGUCCCCAUGCAAGGGACACUCCUACCCUAGACCUGAGAGUAAACCACAAUAGAAACAAAUAAACAAUUACAUUGGCUCUAAGAUCCAGGACACUCCCAUACAAAAUCAGAUAAUUGGAGAUAAUUGGAUCAGGAACUGUACUAAUCUAAUCCAAUUAUCUCCAAGCACAGAAGAAAAUCACACUUUUUUCACAAAAGUACCCAAAAAGUACAUAAAACCCCCACAAAAGUCACAUUCCCUGAUAGCCCUGAUCUGGGUGACCAACAUAUCCAAAAAUCACCCAAAUCAGUUCAGAAAUUUUCUGGAAGUCAUUUGUUUGACC